ensembl:lncRNA
UUUUUUUUUUUAAUUUUAUUAUUUUCUUUCUCCAGGAUUAUCUGCAAAAAUUCUCUUUGAUUGCUGGUAUUUGGGUCUGAAAAACUUUUCCAUUGUUGAAGUGUUCAAUUCAACCCCUUGCAGCUGCUGAUCCCCUCAUUGUUCCCCUCGUUAUGUGUACGCGUCUCAGAUGAAUGUAGCCAAGCCUUUUAGUGCCUUAAUAGGUGUCUACAUAAGGGUCAUUUAUUCUGCCGUACUUGUUUUAACAAAAGUUUAUACACAAACAACAACCACAGCUAAAACAUUCACAUUAAUCAAUUUCCUCCUGAUUGCAGAAUGCAGAAACUGCCUCAAGCCAGAGCCCAGGCAUGAAAAAUGUUUUCUGUGUAUGAUGGUGUAGAGCAGAAAAUAGUUUAAGCAAUUUCGUCAAGGGCAAAAGCAGGGCAAAGCAUAAUUGUGGCAACAUACCUCCUGGCUGAGAUCUCCCAUUCUGGUGUUUCUGAGUCUGUGUAGCUAUGGCAGGUUACUGGGAGGGCAGAGAGCCUCUUAAGAAUUGGAGUGCAUUGAGGUUUGAGCUCUUCCCUAGAUGUUCACCCUGGUUUGGGAGCUGUUCUCUGUGAACUUCUGGUGGGCGUCAGUUACCCACUCUGUAGGAAAGGCUGUGUAGGUGAUAAUCGGAAUCUGGAGAAAUUUGCAUAAGGGGUAUCUGGAACGUGCAAAAAAUAAAUCAUUUCCUUGCAGGUGUGAGAUUCCCUGUGAGAAAAAAGACAACCACAGCCAUCCCCUUCAGUCGGCAAAGGCCACAGAAGGCUGCUUUUAGGAUGAAAUAAGUGAUGAAAAUAAUAGCCACCAAUCAUAAAUGCUGGGAAGGGUGCUGACAUGCUACCUAAACUACUAGACGUGGGGACAGGCUAGUGGGGGUUUCUAAGGGGUCUCAGUGCUGUUCUCUGGUGCUGUGAGGGGAGUGCCCAGCUCAAUGGACAUCAUGUGGGGAUCAAAAAACUCUGGCCACGUGGGUGAGGGAGCAAGGAGUCCCAUCCACUCUGCCUCCCUGAGCAAACCCAAAGAGUUUGCCUCAGCUGCCCCACCAGUAAUUCAGAGACACCCACAUUCUGUAGUCCAUCUCAGGAUGGCACCCAGUACCUAUUCAGGGCACUGUCUUCACCCAGAUCCUUCAGGGCAAAAAUAAACACACUAUAUGGUGUCCAUAGGCUAUUCUCCUUUGCCGUAUGGGUUUACCUGCUCAUUGAUCUUUCAAGUUUAAUACUUGCACUUGAGCAGUUAAGGAGUCAGGUCCUCAGAUGCUUUGGAGGUUUUGUGCAGGUCAGAAAGCUCUGCGACAUGGUCUCUGGAUGUGGUUCCACUGCUUCCCCCAUCCUCAUCUGAGGGUCUCUUCCUACCCUUUAUUACAUCUCCUGGGCUGAGGACCUUCCCCAUGGAGCCAGCUGUUCUCUCAACCACUUGGGUUAGAUGGGUGCUUCUCAAGCUUUAAAGAGGGUGUGAAUGACCUGAGAUGUUGUUCAAAUGCACAUUCUGUCUGAUUCUGUUGUUUUGAGCGGGGGCCUGAGAAUCUGCAUUUCAGACAAGAUCCCCGGUGAGGCUGAUGCUGCCAGGGGCUCUAGAUCCUCAUUUACCUGGAGAUGAGAUUUUGCUCUCACUGUCCUAGAGACAAAGUAUCUAUCUGUUAACUCAUGGGAAUAACAAUGACCAUUGAUGCAAUCAUGGAUUUCUUGGCUUUUCAACAGUCGCUUUGGGGAGAUUGGGAAGGGUUUGGAGGCUUAACCUGAACUUUAUCUUGUACCUAAUUUGACUCUUUGGUUCCAAGCAGGCGACAAAGUAAGUGACAUUUGGUCUCAAUCUUUGAUCAUUUCUAUCUUAGCCACUCAUUUUUAAUAUUACUAAAUAUAUACCAGAUGCCUACUGUAUGCAGGCACCAUGCCAGAUACAGCGAAUACCGGGCUGGCAAAGAGAUGUUAUUCCUGUCCUCAUGUGGUUUAUGCUCUUAGCGUCUCCAGCAGCCGGCCUCAAACCUGGCUGCCCACUGAAAUCACCGGAGGGAGUUUCUAUGACUAACAGAUGCCUGGGCCCCGCUCCCACUCCCAGAGUCAAAUUUAGUUGCUUUGAGAUGGGGCAGGGUCAUCAGCAUUUUUUUCACUUCUAAGAAUUCCUUUUAUUUUAUUUUUUCUCUGCACAAAUGAUGUCUUAAAAGAUAUCACUGAAAAACAAUCAACGGUUAACCAUGUACUUGUUUAGGGAUGUGUAGGUUAUAUCCAUAUUUUGGCGAUUGCAAAUAAAGCUGUUACGAAUACUUAUAAUUCUGGGUUUUGUGUGAACAUCAGUUUUCAUUUUUUUUCCUGGAUGAGUGUCCAAGAGUACAAUUGUUUGCAUGUUUAGUUUUAUAAGAAACUGCCAGUAUGGUGAUCACUGUUAUUCAUAGUAAUGAUCCUGGAAUAUUGGAUUUUGAAGUGCUUUCUGAGUUAUCAAAAUUUGUUGCAUCAAUGUUAUUACUGGUAGACUCUGCUGUUUCAUAAUUUUCUGCAUAAUUGGUAAUACACGGAUGGUCUCCUUAAGGCGUCUCCUAGUUAGUGUUUGCUCAUCCAGAGCGUGCUCCUUCCCAUCCCCUGGAUAUUCAGGAGUUCAAGUUGCCUGGACCAAAGAGAACUCAUGGGCUCCUCCUCAAAUUGGUAACAGAGGGGCUUAUCUGUUGGUCCAGACCACCAGUCAGGUUGGAUUUCGAAGUCCAAGCAUCCAGAAGGGCCAAACCAAAGGGCUCAUUUUUUGUUGGUCAGGCUGAAAUGGCACUCUCCUGGCACCCCCACCUCUAGUCCCGUAGAAAUAAUGACAACUGACUCCUGUAUGGUACUUCCUCUGCACUACACACUAGUCUAAGUGUUUUACACUUGUUAACUUACUUAAUUCUCCUUACAACCCUACAAGAUACAUCCAAUUCCUAUCCCCACUUUAUUGAUGAGAAAACUGAGGCAUGGGGUCCAUUGCCUUUCACAAAAGCGUGCCAAGGCAUAGGCUUUAUAAUAGGUUUUUUAUUUGAGUGCCCAAUAUUUUUACUGUGAUGUGUCCCAAGUUGUGGUUUCCCCUUGUGAAUCAGUGUAUCUGUUAAGUGACUGUAUCACAAAGCCUGUGGACCUACAUGCAGUAUUCCAGUUUGAUGAAAUGGUAAGUCUCAGUAGGAUGUGUUAAUUGUGGAGCUUCACAGAUGGCAGAACAAGAUCAAGAUGGAGUCAUGUUAUUCUAAAUGCCAUUGUGUGUGUCCACAGUCUUGCUGAAGCCUGCGUACUUUGCCAGUUCCUGGGACUAUGGAGUAAUCUGUGGAAUGGUAUUGUUUUCAUAUAUUCAAGAUUGUGAUUUAAUACAAGGCUCCAUUUGUUUGUGUUUACGGGUUGUAAUUUCCCUGCGGGCACCUUUGAAGAUGAAGGACAGGCUUCCUGUAGAAACCCUAAUAUGUUUUAGAGGGAUUAUCUGAAGUUUCUACCUGCUCUCUCCCUCCCCUAGGUUGUCAUGUUUACUAGAGAUGGACUGAUCUAUGGACUCCACAGUGUUUUUUAUUUUAUGGUAAUGUUCACAGGCUCUGAAGGGAUUUGGAUAGCUUUAGAUUUAAUCACAGAUUGCUGUUUCUUGGUGUAGCAGGUAUUCAUUUAAAAAUAAAAUGACACCUCAUUAUCCCACAACCCGGUCUAAGGGAUUUUGUUUGCAGGAAUUUGUUAUUGCUAUUGUCAUUGUUAUUAUUGUUGGUAGUAGUAUUGCUGACAAUUAUUUUUAGCCUUAUUUUUUUGUUUCUUUUUUUCUUUCUUUCUUUUUUUGUCUUUUUCUUUCUUUCUUUUUUUUUUCCUUUUUCUUAUUUAUUUAUUUAUUUUUGUCUUUUGUCUUUUUAGGGCCACACCUGUGGCAUAUGGAGGUUCCCAGGCUAGGGGUCUAAUCAGAGCUACAGCUGCCGGCCUACACCACAGCCACAGCAACGUGGGAUCCAAGCCGUAUCUGCCAUCUAUACCACAGCUCACAGCAAUGCCCGGAUCCUUAACCCACUGAGCGAGGCCAGGGAUUGAACCUGCAACCUCAUGGUUACUAGUCGGGUUCGUUAACAACUGAGCCAUCACAGGAACUCUUGUUUCUCUCUUUUUUGAGAACAAUUAGUCUGUGUCUUGGGUAAGUUAUAUCAUUUCCCCCCUGUCUUCACUCUCAACUUAGACUGCUGGGCAAGCUCGGUGGGGGAACUAAUGGCUGGUAAUUAGCUUUUAGAUAAAUUACUGCUUAAAGAAAAGGGAAGACACCUUGAGUGCUAGAAGUCAGUCUAGCAAACAGUUAGUGGAGAUGUCCCUGUAAUUUUGUCAUUUUGCAAAUGAUGUCCAUAGUGUUUCUUGGCAGUCUAAGAAAUUGCAUCUCAAGCAUGCGGGCAUCGAAAUUAGUAGGGAAAAAUCCCUGGGCCAUCACCAAAGUGUCUUCUCUCUGACUCAGAACAGUCUCUGUCACUGUGGCUUAUCAUAGACUUACCUUGCACAUCCAUCAAUUUUGUGACCCACCAGAGCAACCUUAAGGAGGAUAAGAAAGUCAUGGCCUGGAGUCUAGCCAGAUUAUGGAAAGAAAAUGUUCGUGUUUUCAGGAAAACUGAACUAUCACUGGGUACUCUGUCUGAGAAAGCAGGCAACUGGCAGAAGUUGGAAAAAAGUAUUUAAGGACACAUUGUUGUGUUUGUACAGAAUGACAGGACUUGAACUUUUUCUUAUUAUUUUAAGCUCUGUGUUAAGUUGGCUUAAGCGAUUAUUCUAUGUUUGUUGCUAUUUUUAUGAUAUAUACUGUUUAAAUUGUAAUUCUAUUAGACAUCUCAGAGAUUUUAGAACUGGAAAGGAAUGAUGAGCUAAUAAUAGAUGCAAUUACAGAAUACUUCCUCCCUGUCAAGGACCCCAAUAAAUGCUAUGCAUAUUGUUUCAUUCUCUACAAUCUGUGAGUUGGGUAUAGUUAGGCCCACUUUGCCGUGAAGAUCAAUGAGGUCUGGCAGGGUUAAAUAAUGUGACCAAAGUUUCCCAUUUGGUAGAGAUGGGAUUAAAACAGUAACUGUACUGACUUCAAUGUA